AUUAGCAAAGAGGGAGUGGGUUCUACUCAAGCACACCUGAAGCAAAUGCCAAGCAGGAAGAAGGAGUGAAAGGACUCGUGUCAUCUUCUUCAGGCACAAACACCUGCACUGAAGAAAACUUUUCCAGACUAUCACAAUAGCAAAGUUGUUGCACUUUCUGAAAAUGAUUUCUUAUAAACGUCAAUCUGUAGGACAUGCGUGAAGUCAAGAUUCCCAACCCAUUCACAGUUAAAGGCUUCAAGCUGCCCCUAAGAAGUUCUUCCAGAUUGGUUCCUUCCUCCAUCCCAGGAGAUGUUCAUGUGAUGAGGAUCUGUGAUUGCGGAAGAAAAUAGCUAAGAAACAUAGAAAUGGAAAUGAGGACGCAGAGAGAGGCAGAGCUGUUCACUCAGAGAGAAGAGAACUGUCUGUAGAUUAUAUACUUGUAGCCAAGAGUUGUUUCUUGCUGGCAAUCACUGUAGUUACAAUCACCCAGAAACUUCAGGAGCCCAUUCUACAAUGUCUCUGAACUCCAGAAUGCAUUCAGGAAUGAAGAAAUGGAAUAAUUCAAAGGGAAAGAUGUGUUAGUCUUCAUCUGUACCAGAACAGUACAGGUGAUUAAACACCAAAUAGAGGUUUACAAAAGAACACAGCCCUAAGCUAUAUCCAGCAACUCCGUCUUUCUUUGUAAAAAAUAGCUGAAAAAUAUUCUAAAUGUUUUUCAUAUUUUAAGUCAUCACAUUUAUUUUUCCAUCAUUGUCUUCUACUAAUAUAUCAUACGAUUCAUUGUUCUUUUCUCAUUCAUUUUUUCAUUUUAAAACGCUCUUUACCACUCUUUGUUUAAAAUGUAACCUCCCUUCCUGCAACAUCUAUUGGAGAUUUUCAGUCAUUAGCAAGUUGAAGCUUUUAGGAAAUAUUCAAAUUUUUGUUUAUUUGUUUCUUUUUCUAUUAGCAAAUUGUUGAGAACCUGAUGAUGCUGUGAUAGACAAAUAAUUUCAAGUUAAAACAACAGUGCAUCCAGAGCUUUUUGCAUUGCUUAACUGAACCCCAAACCAAGUUUCUACUGCUGAAACCAUGAAGGGAGCAAAUUCUCAUUUAUAUUUUUUUACAUUUCCUCUUAAUUUGCUUAAUGAAAUAAGUAAAACGUUUCAAAAUAUAACAUCUAGAUUUAGAGGCCAAACAGGGCAGGACAUUCCAAGAAAAAAAAAAAAGUGUAAAAAACUGUAGAAUUCUCAUGAAAGAAUUUUGAAUACUUCUCAGGUGAUUUGCAGCUUUCUAUUUCAACACUCAAUUUUUUUUAUUUAUUUCAGUUGUGAACCCAAAGCUUAGAUUAGAUAGUUUGUUACACCACGUGUGGUUUCUGUCCAUACAUGAUCAAACAGGAAUUCCAAUUUUGCUCAAUUUACAAAUCUCACCAGUUGUUAAGGAUGAAGCACUGACACAGUGUUUCAUGAAGGACCUCAUAAAUUUCAAUCCAAAGAUGCCGGACCACAGAGAAUCACAAUACAAUGUUACCACAGCUGUGUUUGGCAAGUAAGACGAACACAUCCACAUACAAGACUGGUUUUUGUUGUUCAUUUGUUUGUCAGAUCUUUGGAUUGAAAACAGUGACAGAACUAAUGUAUGAGGUCACAUACAACCUUUUAUAUUUAUUUAAGGACACCUGAAAAAAAUUUGGUAUGCAAUCAAUCACACUGUCCAUUGAUUUUUUCAGUUUAACUGAUUCACAAUAUGAAAGGAAAGGUGUAGUCAUGUAUGCAGACAGCAUACCUGAAGUGAGGUGUGCUAUAUCAUAACAUUAAUAU
ensembl:lncRNA